GGUGAGUAAUACAUCUAGAACGUGCCCCAUCGUGGGGGAUAACGCAUCGAAAGCUGUGCUAAUACCGCAUACGAUCUACGGAUGAGAGCAGGGGAUCGCAGGACCUUGCUCGAAUGGAGCGGCGCGAUGGCAGAUUAGGUAGUUGGUGAGGUAAAGGCUCACCAAGCCUUCGAUCUGUAGCUGGUCUGAGAGGACAGACCAGCCACACUGGGACUGAGACACAGCCCAGACUCCUACUGGAGGCAGCAGUGGGGAAUUUUGGACAAUGGGCGAGAGCCUGAUCCAGCCAUGCCGCGUGCAGGAUGAAGGCCUUCGGGUUGUAUACUGCUUUUGUACGGAACGAAACAGUCUUUUCUAAUACAAAAGGCUAAUGACGGUACCGUAAGAAUAAGCACCGGCUAACUACGUGCCCGCAGCCGCGGUAAUACAUAAGGUGCAAGCGUUAAUCGGAAUUACUGGGCGUAAAGCGUGCGCAGGCUGUUAUGUAAGACAGUUGUGAAAUCCCCGGGCUCAACCUGGGAACUGCAUCUGUGACUGCAUAGCUAAAGUACGGUAGAGGGGGAUGGAAUUCCGCGUGUAGCAGUGACAUGCAUAGAUAUGCAGAGGAACACCGAUGGCGAAGGCAAUCCCCUGGACCUGUACUGACUCUCAUGCACAAGAGCG
rnacentral:rRNA from 1 species